GCUGGGCACAGUGGCUCAUGCCUGUAAUCCCAGCUACUCGGGAGGCUGAGACAGGAGAAUCUAGAGUUCAAAGCCAGCCUCAGCAAUCAUGAGGUGCUAAGCAACUCAGUGAAAUCCUGUCUCUA
rnacentral:sRNA from 1 species